rnacentral:rRNA from 1 species
UGAGGAAUAUUGGUCAAUGGGCGCAAGCCUGAACCAGCCAUCCCGCGUGCAGGAAGACGGCGCUAUGCGUUGUAAACUGCUUUUCCAGGGGGAGAAACUUGCGCACGUGUUGCGCAAUUGACGGUACCCUGGGAACAAGCAUCGGCUAACUCCGUGCCAGCAGCCGCGGUAAUACGGAGGAUGCGAGCGUUAUCCGGAUUCAUUGGGUUUAAAGGGUGCGUAGGCGGACUAUUAAGUCAGUGGUGAAAUCCUGCAGCUUAACUGCAGAACUGCCAUUGAUACUGAUAGCCUUGAGUUUGGUUAAGGUAGGCGGAAUGUGUAACGUAGCGGUGAAAUGCUUAGAUAUUACACAGAACACCAAUUGCGUAGGCAGCUUACUGAGCCGACACUGACGCUGAGGCACGAAAGCGUGGGGAUCGAACAG